AGAGUUUGAUCAUGGCUCAGAGCGAACGCUGGCGGCAGGCUUAACACAUGCAAGUCGAGCGGGCAUAGCAAUAUGUCAGCGGCAGACGGGUGAGUAACGCGUGGGAACGUACCUUUUGGUUCGGAACAACACAGGGAAACUUGUGCUAAUACCGGAUAAGCCCUUACGGGGAAAGAUUUAUCGCCGAAAGAUCGGCCCGCGUCUGAUUAGCUAGUUGGUGAGGUAACGGCUCACCAAGGCGACGAUCAGUAGCUGGUCUGAGAGGAUGAUCAGCCACAUUGGGACUGAGACACGGCCCAAACUCCUACGGGAGGCAGCAGUGGGGAAUAUUGGACAAUGGGCGCAAGCCUGAUCCAGCCAUGCCGCGUGAGUGAUGAAGGCCCUAGGGUUGUAAAGCUCUUUUGUGCGGGAAGAUAAUGACGGUACCGCAAGAAUAAGCCCCGGCUAACUUCGUGCCAGCAGCCGCGGUAAUACGAAGGGGGCUAGCGUUGCUCGGAAUCACUGGGCGUAAAGGGUGCGUAGGCGGGUCUUUAAGUCAGGGGUGAAAUCCUGGAGCUCAACUCCAGAACUGCCUUUGAUACUGAGGAUCUUGAGUUCGGGAGAGGUGAGUGGAACUGCGAGUGUAGAGGUGAAAUUCGUAGAUAUUCGCAAGAACACCAGUGGCGAAGGCGGCUCACUGGCCCGAUACUGACGCUGAGGCACGAAAGCGUGGGGAGCAAACAGGAUUAGAUACCCUAGUAGUCC
rnacentral:rRNA from 1 species